GUGAUUCUUGUGAAUGUUGGGGCCUGUGUGGUGUUCUGAAUAUUAGUAACGUCUUCAUUCAAAUACUCAGGAGGAGGUGGAGUAUUUUUGGGGAUUGUCUUUGCAGGACCUACAAUUAGGUCCAGAUCUAAAGACCAUCCUGGUGCCCUCAGGGAAAUACUUUGGGCAAGACAGCUUGUGCCUGAGCACCCAGCCAUGAAGAACCUUCAGCUAGCCUGCUCCCUACUGUUUUGGCAAUUCAAAGUCUUGAAAACCACAUUUUUGCGGUCACACAUGAUCCUGUUUGUUACAAUCAUCAGAGAACACAAGACUUCAAUCAAAGUGAGAUGACAGGCAAAUAUGCAUGCUGAACAGAGGAAGUCACUGGACCAGAUAUUUACUUCAAUCAAUACCAAGGAUCACAAAAGAACUUUAAAAUAAAAAAAAACUGAUGAGAAUGGGUCACAUAAGAUUAUUCAUCAUACAUGCUAAUUUUACAUAUUGUGCAAUGCAUUCACAUACACAUUAGAAUUAUAACAGGAAGGAUAAAUCAUAGAUCUUCAGGCAACAUAUGAAUAAGAUUCCCUGAAGUAGUAAGUAUGCAUGAAACAGUAAAUAAUUAGCACAUAAACAUUUUUUCACACUGAUAUUUUUGGGUUUCAUUGUACAGAAGAUCAACCUACUUUAUAAUUUAAAUUUGAGCUUCUGCAGGACUUAUGCAGGCAAGAAAAUACAAAGAUUCUUGUCUGAAUGACUUCUGGUCAGGACUCAUAUUAAAAUGUAACAUAGUUGUGCAUAUGUAAAGUUUGUACAGGAAAAGAUGUACAUUUGUAUGAUACUAAUGAUCUAACAUACUAACAUAGCUUAAGGAAGACUAAUAUAUUAAGUAUUAACAAACAGAGAGAGAUUAGCUCAGGGAAGUUUGGAACUAGAGAUAGACUAGGGACAGAAUAAUAUCAUAUCUUGUGAUAUAAUUUUUAAAAGAAAAGUUAUUAUUACCAUGGAAUUUAGUAGAGUUCAUAAGAAUUCAUAGUUAAGAAAUUUGUUAUUGUUCAUUGAGACAGGAAAAUUUAGAUUGUUACAGAAAGUGUUACAUUAUUGAAACUAUUGCUAUGUUCAAAAUACCUAUGUGUUUGAAAUACCUUCCUACCUUCCACUUACCUAUAAUCCUGAUCUUAGACAUAGAAUUUAGGGAGAUUAGGAUAUUUAAAAUAGAUUAAGUUUCGUUAUUUUUUGGGUAGAGGAAUAUUUAGAAUAGUAUAUUUCAUAAAAUAGAAUAGAAUGAUAAUUAAUAAGGUAAGUAAUAGACUUUGGUACAGAUGUCAGGCUGACUGUGUUCAAGAGAAAAAGGGGGAGUUGUGGAAGAGAGAAAUGCUGAAGUGAAUGCAAGGAUUGGAUUUGCAGAGUUAUCUCAUAAAGAAAAGAGAUAGCACUCUGGCUGCCAAUGGGGGAUGGGAAUGAAACAUUCAGCUAAGAAAAGGAGUGGAGAAGUUAGAGAUUACUGGCUUUUCCCUUUUUGAAUUGAAGAGGGAAGGAGCAAAAUCCUCACUGAGCCUAUAUAGCUUCAAGUCCCUUUUGAGCAGAAAAAGAUCCACACUAAUCAUCUUUCUUAUAGUAGUUGGAUAGAGACUUUUUUCCCCUUUGGGGAAGGCAAUAGCCUCUCCUUCAGAAGACUCCUUCAAAGCUAUAUCUCUGUGCCAAGAAAUACAAUCAUCUUGAACUCACAAAGAUACUAAGAUUAUCUGGGUCUUAGUCCCUAGACUUGAGCCUCAAACCCCUGAAGAAACCAUAGGAGGAAAAUACAUCUAUGGACUUCCUGUUCCCUCUUUUCUAAUUUAUUAUACCCAACCUCUUAUGUAAAGUAAAUGGAUAUUUUCAACUUAAUGAGAACUCAGACAUCUUAAAUGUACUAAAGGGGGAUCAUAGAUACAAUCAACUAAAGAAAAAAAAAGAUUGAAGAGGAUUUUCUCUUACCCUUCAGCUCUGGUAAGAUCAAACUCCAUUUUUUAGACAAUUCUCCUGGGGGGUGGUGUAGGGAGAAGUGGUGUUCCUCUUUAUCUAUUCCCUCUUUCUCAAUUACCUGUCAAAACUUUGGUUCCUGAUUCCCCUCUAGUACACCUCCCACCUCCUAGAGUUGACAAUUAAAUCUGGGUUAUACAUGUAUUACACAAAACAUAUUUCCAUAUUAUUCAUUUUUAUAAGUGAAUUAUCUCAUUAAACCAAAACUACAAAACAUAUACCCAAAUAAACAACUGACAAAUCAUAUCUUUUCAUUUGUUUUUCUACUCCAACAAUUAUUUCUCUGGAAGUAGGUGGCAUUCUUUGUCAUAAGUCCCUCAGAACUGUCCUGGAUCAUUGUAUUGCUGUUAGUUAGCAAAGUCUAUCACAUUUGAUUGUUCCACAAUAUUUCAGUUAUUGUCUACAGUGUUCUCAUAGUUUUAUUUAUUUCACUCAGUAUCAGUUCAUGUAAGUCUUUACAGUCCUUUCUAAAAUCAUCCUGUUCAUCAUUCCUUAUAGCACAAUAGUAGUCCAUCCCCAUCAUAUGCCACAUUUUGUUCAGUCAUUCCCCAAUUGAGGGACAUCUCCUCAUUUUCCCAUUUUUUGCCACUACAAAAAAUACAAGCAUAAAUAUUUUUAUACAAACAGGUCAUUUCCCAUUUUUUUGUUAUCUCUUUGGGAUACAGACCUAGUAGUGGUAUUGCUAGAUCAAAAGGUAUGCAUUCUUUUAUAGUACUAUUGCCCUCCAGAAUGGUUGAAAUAAUUCACAACUUUACCAGCAAUGCAUUACUAUCCCAAAUUUAUCACAUUUCUUCUGACAUUUAUUAUUUUCCUUUACUGUCAUAUUGGCCAAUUUGAAAGGUGUGAGGUGGUACCUCAUCGUUGUUUUAAUUUGUUUUUCUCUAAUCAAAAGAGAUUUAGAACAUUUUUUCAUAUGAUUGUUGAUAGCUUUGAUGAAUUCACCUAAAAACUGCUUGUUCAUAUCCUUUGACCAUUUAUCAAUUAGGGAAUGACUUGAAUUCUUAUAAAUUUGACUUAGCUCUUUAUAUGCUUGAGAAAUGAGACUUUUAUCAGAGAACCUUUUUAUAAAAUUUUUUUCUAGUUGUUGCUUCCUAUCUAAUCUUGGUUGCAUUGGUUUUGUUUGGGGGCAAGUGCUCAAGGCCAAGAGUCAGAGCUCAGGGCCAGUGGUAAAGUCCCUACGGAUAGGAAUCAAGGGCUAAACAGGGUGGUUAGAGUUAUUAGAAAACUAUCAACCUCUUCCUCUCACCAUCGCAACCAUUUCUGCUCCUGCCUCUAUCACCACAUCUUGGACACUGUCAGUGGA